rnacentral:ncRNA from 1 species
UAGUUAUCAAGAAAGGUGGAGGGAAUAGACCCUUUGAAGCCUUAGCAACCCUUGGCUCUCGAUGUCAAGAAGGUGCUACAUUCUAUCCCGAUGGGAAUAGAUAACGA